UAAAAGAAACUCCGGUGCGAGACCACAGCCAAAGGCGGGAAGAGGUCCCGGAUGUGCAUUGUCGUUCUUUCUUCGUGACAGAAAUUUCACAGGCAGACAUGGUACGAAUAUGUAAUGAACAGAUUAUGGACGGUCAAUACUUCUCAAGCUUCUGAAUCGUUUGGAUAUGAAAAUUAUCGUGCUGAAGAUAUUUAUACGUGUCUGGGGGAUCCUACCAGACAACUUGUAUAACCAAUCAGAAACCAGUCUGCGAUUCUCCGCCAAUCAACGAUCAAAUUGGCGUGUUGCUUUCUACCACGUCGGUAAUAGGGAUGUCUGAAUCUUAAUUUGCAUACGGCAGCAUAUAUAAACAUGUUAUGGUGGGUCCGGUGAGGCCGGAGUUGCGUCCUUGACUGGUUUGCGUGGGGUGCGGAUCCAUUGUGUACAGGUGUGAGUUGGACUGUCAGGUUGACUGAGGGACGACGGGACGCUAGAUUCUUGGUCGUUUUGUUAGCAGUGUCUUGUGCUAAGGAUGGAGACACCAUCGGAGAUGUCGGGAUAUGUGCACAACGUGUCGCCAAUGAAAGACGGGGCAAAGUCAAAGUUUUUCCGGUUUGAUUUUCAAACUUCAGAAGACGAGUCUAGGAAAGGAAUCUGUUUUAGUCCUCAGAAGAGGAGUUUCU